rnacentral:lncRNA from 1 species
GGUGGCCUGGCCCUCCCCACUACCUCCUGCAGACUUUGAGAAGCCCACAGUGGAGACAUCCACCACCCCAGCCAUGGGCCAUACGGGGGUGCUGACCUGCUGCCCGGCUGGAACUGGGGGUGCUCGGCAGUGCUGAAGGAGCCUGGGAAGGGAUGGAGGAUACAGGCAAGCCCACGUCUUGAGAGAGGUGGCUGGAGCCCCGGCACAGAGACUGAAUGCUGGGGUCCCUUCCUGGGACCAAGAUGGAGAAGGUGUUCCUAAGACAGGAGACAGAAGGAGGCUGCCGAAGGCUCUGUGCGGUCAUCACCACUCUGCAUCAGCUGCCCUUCCAAGAAGCUUCUGCUGCUGCUCCUCCUCCCAGCCCCGGCCCAUUCCUCCCCUGCAGUCUGAGGAGGCAAAGGUACGUGCACGGGGCACAUUGACAGGACACGGAGGACCACCUCAUCACGGGGUUCCCUGCAUGGGGAUCUGUAAAGAGAAAGUUUCUGCACCCACCAGAGCAAGAGCCAACUGAAAGCGUAGACCUGAGAAGAGGUAACUCAUUCCCUUCCUGCUCCUCUGCCCUCAUCAGAUGUCCCCAGGAGCAGCAGGGCAGAGGCCCUUCUUUCUAUUCUUACAAGGGCAGCUAGAGCGUGCUCACUCAGGGCUCAUCAAAUGAGACUCAUGUGCAUUUUUCAGAAGGAAACCUUGGUUAGUCCUUGCUGGGUAACACAAAGUGGGGUGAGACAGAAGCCGAAUUCAUGGAAGGGGGGUCUUCUCCCCAAAACUCUGUGUGGUGGGAAACCAGCUAUACCUCCCCAAGCCCCAGGGCCUAAAGAGAAGACCCCCAAAGCCAAAGAUGUGGCCACUUAAAAGCAUCUCCUGCCUCCUACCCAACUGAGUGCCUGGGCCCCCAGCUUGGCCAAGAUGGGCAGUACGUUAGGGUAAGAACCCCAUGCUUCAAACUUAUGGACUGACCAUCACCUGCGUCCCAAGUAGGACCCUUCCUCCCUUCUCGGGGCUGCCCCUGCACCCUGCCUUGAACACCACCCAAGCGGCCUCCAGUGUGGGCCUGGCCCAGACAUUGCAGAUGCUUCAACCGUGAUGUCGCCCCAGGCCUGCCAGGGGUGUGGUGGAGGGGAAGGCCACGUGCUCCAGGGAGAAGCCCUUUCUGGAGAAGCAAGGCUGUCCUCCCAGGGCUGCCACUACCUGAGACCUGGGGGAGCUGAAUUCCGAACAGCGAUGGUGACACUCAGCACCUUUGCCAUAGCCGGGGGGAACCGGCUUCUGCCUCUGGGAUGGGCUCUCAUCAGGACCACCGUGCAGCCCAGCCAGGGAGGACAUGAGAAGGGCCAGUGGGGGCCUCAAUGAACCAGAACAAGCCAAGCUGAAUGGGGUCUGUGUGCUCCAGGGCCCUCUUCAGCCCCCUCCCCCAAAGGUCUGGGUCCCUGCCACCAACCUACUGAAGGCCGGCCCCCAGCUCACCUCACCUGAGCACCUGCACCAGGCCCCAGGCACAUGGCUGCCCUGAACUCAGAUCACCUAGACCUUGUCCCUGCCCCACCUUUGCCCCAUCCUAGCCCCAGAAGCUCCAAACUUCACCGCAGGUGAGAAAUUGUGCUCAAUGGGCAGAAACUGCUAUACCCCCAGGGCAUGGCCCACAUUUUGGCAUGAGGGUGUCUUUCCAGAGAGCUUGGGUUGGCUGGAGAGAGGCUGUCUUUCCCAUUCCUUGUCCAGCUAGGAAUAAAGGGGAAAUGGUCCUAGCCUGGUCCCUACACACCCAGGUCCCACAGGCCCCCUCCCCACUGGAAUUUCACCAACCAACAAGGGGAAAAAGUACGCUGUUACAGCAUAGCGGUCAGGCCCAGCAGGAGCUUGGCACAUGAUGGGGAGGUGGCCAGCUCCAGGCCCUGCCCGACCCCAUCAUGUGUAUUUGGUGUAUGGGGUGUGGGGGUCACACCAGAAGCUGGCCUGGGGUCUCUUCUUCGCUGGACACAGCUCCCUGGCGCCUGCCCCCAGCCCCUGCAGCUCCUGCCGGACUGUGGAAGCCACAUAUGGGAAAAGUCCUGGCAGACAAUGUGGCGGGAUGACUGGGGGCUUCUCCCUCUGAACCUGGGUCCAGUGUAGCCUGGCUCUGAGAGAAGGUGGUGAGCAUGUGGAGAAGGUUCCAUAGUCCACUCUUAGGGGAACCAGCAAAGCCUCACGGCAGUUGGCUCCAUCUGGACCUCCCAUGGUCACUGCAGGACGGUGGAGCAGGGGGCAUCUUUUAGCCUCCCCCCGCCACCACAUCCAGGCCCUCUCAGGCACCUCCUGCCUCAGCCCACACCUGCCUCACCCAUUGCCCCCCUCCCCCCACCUACUGCCAUCCCACUCCUCUGCCAGCCACUUCCCAGCCGCCCCACCCCACUCCAUCCACCAAAUCACCUCCUGACUUAAUCCUUUCUGGAAGGAGCUGCCGCCCGGGAACCGGUAUUGCCUAGAGCCUCCAGGAGGGGCCCUCCUCGGGCCUCCAGUGGCCCCAUGCCCACCUGCCUGACCCUCCACUGCCCCUGGAAGCAAAGUGCCUAUCAGCAGCGUUGCGUCCUCUGGGGCCCCCGGUCGGGGGGGAGGGGGUGUGGGCUAACCUUGGCCACCACCACUAAAGGAAUGUGCCAGAAUGCUGAACCUUCUUGUUAAUGCUAUGACCGUGCCUUGAAUAAACAAGUCCUCCCAACCUCUCCUGGCCCCUGCCUCUCUGCCUCUGCAUCUGGGCCAGCCUGGCCUUGCUCCGCUGUGCAGUGGAGAGAACUUUCUGGUCCUUGAGCUACCCAGGAAGCCAGCAGGGCAGCCCCGAGGAGCAGCAGAAGUCUCUGGUGAGUGCUGAGCCCCAUGAGCAGGCCACUGGGCUAGGCUAGUGGCCAGACUUCAAAACACACAGAUUUCAGGUGAGGCCCCAGGAAGAGCGGCAGACAGGGCUCAGGUCUGCAAGAGGAUGAGGGUGGGGGACUUGGGGGAUGGGGGAGGUGGAGGAGAGGUUGGCACGAGGGAAGUGUGCGGGGCAGCCAGGUGGGAUAAGAAACACCCGUUAGCAAAGGCUGUUAUAACUGUGGCAAGGAGACAACAGUUCCCUGCCCUGGUGGACACAUCUCAGGGUCAGGAGACCGGUUCUGUCCCUUCCUCCAGCAGCUGCAUGACCCAGGCUGGUCAUCUCAUCCAGACAGUAGGGCUGGGAGGACAUGAGGCGGACUGUUCUGCUUCGUGACUGAGCAGAGCAGAUUUGAGGGCAGAAGAUGGGAAUCUUGUGGGUGUGUUGAGUAGGGGGAGACUUCCUCCCGCAGUGCUCCCUAUGGGGACAGAGGAUGACAGUCUCAGGGUGGCUGCCUAAGGACUCUUUCCUGCAUCAUCCUCACUGGGUCCUCUCCGCAAGCUUCCACGGUCCAUCAGUGGCCAUUGACUCAAAGUCUACCAAGGUGUGGGCCUGGGUGUGGGAUCAAGACCCGUCCACUUGUCCCCUCUCCCCCUCAAAACAAUUAUUUUCCAAGUCAAGUCAGCCCUUAAAAUCCACAAGGGCUGCUUCGCAGGAGAGAAGCCAUGAAGACUCCCUGACUGGACGGGACGGGGCUGCGCCCUGCUGCUGCCUCUCAUGGUCCCCUCCCAGGGGCCGGCAGCUCCAGGGUCCCCAGAUGGCAGGCCUGGGACACUCUGUGGUUCAGCAGACCUUUCAAGGGCCUUUUAUCAGGCAGAGACUGAGAAAGAGACAGAAAAACAAGCCGAAGAGGGAGGGCGGUCGCCCCAAGGAUGGAAUGUCCUCCAGGGAGCAAUGGUGAGGGGAAAUGGCAAGAGGGGCCAGGCCAAAGUGAAAGAGUGAAGAGACACAAUCAAAUGCGAAGUGUGCAUCCUGAGUUGAACAAACCAACUGCAGAGAGACGUCUGGGAAAUCUACACGUGGAUGAAUGUGGGCCAUCAGGGAAUUUGAAUUAGGUGGUGAUGAGGAGAUACCGUUCGUCUUGUUAGAUAUAUUGAUGGCGUGGCUUCAUAUGUGAAAUAAAGUGCCAGCUAGAAAUUCAUAUGGAAGAAUUUACAGGUAAAAGAACAUGAAGUCUUGGAUUUGCUUAAAAACUCUCCAGCAAAAACAAAGAAACAAAAACAAAAAUGGGAGGGGGGUGUGGUUGGG